rnacentral:piRNA from 1 species
GCUGAAGAGUCAGGAAUUUUGUGCCUCGGG